GACGAACCGUGCGAACGUUGUUCGGAAUCACUGGGCUUAAAGGGCGCGUAGGCGGGCUAUCAAGUCCGGGGUGAAAUCCUCCAGCUCAACUGGAGAACGGCCUCGGAUACUGAUGGUCUCGAGGAGGAUAGGGGCACACGGAACUGUGGGUGGAGCGGUGAAAUGCGUUGAUAUCCAUAGGAACUCCGGUGGCGAAAGCGGUGUGCUGGAUCCUUUCUGACGCUGAUGCGCGAAAGCCAGGGGAGCAAACAGG
rnacentral:rRNA from 1 species